CCAGGGUACUCACCAGUCAUCGGACCCUUAAAUAAUGACACUGCCAUUUGGGUCUGCACGGGACUGUCCAGCUUACGAGACAUUAACCAAAGAGGAGCGGCAGAUCAGAUGGCCAGCAAAAGAGGUGGCAGUAGAAGAGAGCUUCCCCCCUCCCCGAAAGGUGCCAAACUCCAAAGCGACCGAAAAUGGAACGAGUACAAAAAUCAGUUCCAAUACGAUCAUUAAUUGAUGAACAGAAGCACUUUCAACCCCCACCGAGAUUCUCAGAUCACAGACCCCAUGAUC
rnacentral:lncRNA from 1 species